GAAAUGCGAUAAGUAAUGUGAAUUGCAGAAUUCAGUGAAUCAUCUAAUCUUUGAACGCACCUUGCGCUCCUUGGUAUUCCUUGGAGCAUGCCUGUUUGAUUAUCAUGAAAUCUUCAAAGUAAAUCUUUUGUUAACUCAAUUGGUUUCUACUUUGGUAUUGGAGGUCUUUGCAGCUUCACACCUGCUCCUCUUUGUUCAUUAGCUGGAUCUCAGUGUUAUGCUUGGUUCCACUCGGCGUGAUAAGUUAUCUAUCGCUGAGGACACUGUAAAAGGUGGCCAAGGUAAAUGCAGAUGAACCGCUUCUAAUAGUCCAUUGACUUGGACAAUACUUUUAUGAUCUGAUCUCAAAUCAGGUAGGACUACCCGCUGAACUUAAGC
rnacentral:misc_RNA from 1 species